AUUGAACGCUGGCGGCAGGCCUAACACAUGCAAGUCGAGCGAGCGGCGGACGUGUGAGUAAUGUCUGUGCAACUGCCUGAUGGAGGGCGAUAACUACUGGAAACUGUAGCCAAUACCGACUUCCCUCAGAUGUGCCCAGAUGGGAUUAGCGUGUAGGUGGGGUAAAGGCUGAACUAGGCCACGAUCCGUAACUGGUCUGAGAGGAUGACCAGCCACACUGGAACUGAGACACGGUCCAGACUCCUACGGGAGGCAGCAGUGGGGAAUAUUGCACAAUGGGCGAAAGCCUGAUGCAGCCAUGCCGCGUGUGUGAAGAAGGCCUUCGGAUUGUAAAGCACUUUAAGCGGGGAGGCGUUACCCGCAGAAGAAGCACCGGCUAACUCCGUGCCAGCAGCCGCGGUAAUUC
rnacentral:rRNA from 1 species